rnacentral:rRNA from 1 species
GUAGCGGUGCGAGCGUUAAUCGGAAUUACUGGGCGUAAAGCGUGCGUAGGUGGUUCGUUGUGUCUGUGGUGAAAGCCCCGGGCUUAACCUGGGAAUGGCCAUGGAAACUGGCGAGCUGGAGUGUGGCAGAGGGGGGUGGAAUUCCGCGUGUAGCAGUGAAAUGCGUAGAGAUGCGGAGGAACACCGAUGGCGAAGGCAGCCCCCUGGGCUAACACUGACGCUGAGGCACGAAAGCGUGGGGAGCAAACAGGAUUAGAUACCCUGGUAGUCCACGCCCUAAACGAUGUCAACUGGGUGUUCGGGAAGCGAUUCCUGGGUACCGUAGCUAACGCGUGAAGUUGACCGCCUGGGGAGUACGGCCGCAAGGUUA